ACGAACGCUGGCGGCGUGCUUAACACAUGCAAGUCGCACGGAAAGGCCUCUUUCGGGGGGUACUCGAGUGGCGAACGGGUGAGUAACACGUGAGUAACCUGCCCUUGACUUUGGGAUAACUUCAGGAAACUGGGGCUAAUACCGGAUAGGAGCUCCUGCUGCAUGGUGGGGGUUGGAAAGUUUCGGCGGUUGGGGAUGGACUCGCGGCUUAUCAGCUUGUUGGUGGGGUAGUGGCUUACCAAGGCUUUGACGGGUAGCCGGCCUGAAAGGGUGACCGGCCACAUUGGGACUGAGAUACGGCCCAGACUCCUACGGGAGGCAGCAGUGGGGAAUAUUGCACAAUGGGUGGAAGCCUGAUGCAGCAACGCCGUGUGCGGGAUGACGGCCUUCGGGUUGUAAACCGCUUUCGCUCAUGACGAAGCUUUGUGUGACGGUAGUGGGUAAAGAAGCACCGGCUAACUACGUG
rnacentral:rRNA from 1 species